rnacentral:rRNA from 1 species
UGAUCAUGGCUCAGAUUGAACGCUGGCGGCAGGCCUAACACAUGCAAGUCGAACGGUAACAGGAAGCAGCUUGCUGCUUUGCUGACGAGUGGCGGACGGGUGAGUAAUGUCUGGGAAACUGCCUGAUGGAGGGGGAUAACUACUGGAAACGGUGGCUAAUACCGCAUAACGUCGCAAGACCAAAGAGGGGGACCUUCGGGCCUCUUGCCAUCAGAUGUGCCCAGAUGGGAUUAGCUUGUUGGUGAGGUAACGGCUCACCAAGGCGACGAUCCCUAGCUGGUCUGAGAGGAUGACCAGCCACACUGGAACUGAGACACGGUCCAGACUCCUACGGGAGGCAGCAGUGGGGAAUAUUGCACAAUGGGCGCAAGCCUGAUGCAGCCAUGCCGCGUGUAUGAAGAAGGCCUUCGGGUUGUAAAGUACUUUCAGCGGGGAGGAAGGUGUUGUGGUUAAUAACCGCAGCAAUUGACGUUACCCGCAGAAGAAGCACCGGCUAACUCCGUGCCAGCAGCCGCGGUAAUACGGAGGGUGCAAGCGUUAAUCGGAAUUACUGGGCGUAAAGCGCACGCAGGCGGUCUGUCAAGUCGGAUGUGAAAUCCCCGGGCUCAACCUGGGAACUGCAUUCGAAACUGGCAGGCUUGAGUCUUGUAGAGGGGGGUAGAAUUCCAGGUGUAGCGGUGAAAUGCGUAGAGAUCUGGAGGAAUACCGGUGGCGAAGGCGGCCCCCUGGACAAAGACUGACGCUCAGGUGCGAAAGCGUGGGGAGCAAACAGGAUUAGAUACCCUGGUAGUCCACGCCGUAAACGAUGUCUACUUGGAGGUUGUGCCCUUGAGGCGUGGCUUCCGGAGCUAACGCGUUAAGUAGACCGCCUGGGGAGUACGGCCGCAAGGUUAAAACUCAAAUGAAUUGACGGGGGCCCGCACAAGCGGUGGAGCAUGUGGUUUAAUUCGAUGCAACGCGAAGAACCUUACCUGGUCUUGACAUCCACAGAACUUUCCAGAGAUGGAUUGGUGCCUUCGGGAACUGUGAGACAGGUGCUGCAUGGCUGUCGUCAGCUCGUGUUGUGAAAUGUUGGGUUAAGUCCCGCAACGAGCGCAACCCUUAUCCUUUGUUGCCAGCGGUCCGGCCGGGAACUCAAAGGAGACUGCCAGUGAUAAACUGGAGGAAGGUGGGGAUGACGUCAAGUCAUCAUGGCCCUUACGACCAGGGCUACACACGUGCUACAAUGGCGCAUACAAAGAGAAGCGACCUCGCGAGAGCAAGCGGACCUCAUAAAGUGCGUCGUAGUCCGGAUUGGAGUCUGCAACUCGACUCCAUGAAGUCGGAAUCGCUAGUAAUCGUGGAUCAGAAUGCCACGGUGAAUACGUUCCCGGGCCUUGUACACACCGCCCGUCACACCAUGGGAGUGGGUUGCAAAAGAAGUAGGUAGCUUAACCUUCGGGAGGGCGCUUACCACUUUGUGAUUCAUGACUGGGGUGAAGUCGUAACAAGGUAACCGUAGGGGAACCUGC